AUGGUAGGCCUGAUCACUGUCAACGAUGAGACAGCCUAUAGGGAGGAGGUCAGAGACCUGGCAGUGUGGUGGAGACUGAAAAGAUUUUUCAUGGCUUCCCAGAUUUUCAAAAAGUACUACAGCUGCACCAUCGAGAGCAUAUCAGUUGCUUCGCCACCUAUGGCAACUGCUCGGCCUCCUCUGCUGUCCGGACCUCUGGCAGUCUCUAUGGGGGUGCCACAGGGUUCAAUUCUUGGACCGACUCUCUUCUCUGUAUACAUCAAUGAGGUCGCUCUUGCUGCUGGUGAGUCCCUGAUCCACCUCUACGCAGACGACACCAUUCUGUAUACUUCCGGCCCUUCUUUGGACACUGUGUUAACAACCCUCCAGGCAAGCUUCAAUGCCAUACAACUCUCCUUCCGUGGCCUCCAAUUGCUCUUAAAUACAAGUAAAACUAAAUGCAUGCUCUUCAACCGAUCGCUACCUGCACCUACCCGCCUGUCCAACAUCACUACUCUGGACGGCUCUGACUUAGAAUACGUGGACAACUACAAAUACUUAGGUGUCUGGUUAGACUGUAAACUCUCCUUCCAGACCCAUAUCAAACAUCUCCAAUCCAAAGUUAAAUCUAGAAUUGGCUUCCUAUUUCGCAACAAAGCAUCCUUCACUCAUGCUGCCAAACAUACCCUUGUAAAACUGACCAUCCUACCAAUCCUCGACUUUGGCGAUGUCAUUUACAAAAUAGCCUCCAAUACCCUACUCAACAAAUUGGAUGCAGUCUAUCACAGUGCAAUCCGUUUUAUCACCAAAGCCCCAUAUACUACCCACCAUUGCGACCUGUACGCUCUCGUUGGCUGGCCCUCGCUUCAUACUCGUCGCCAAACCCACUGGCUCCAUGUCAUCUACAAGACCCUGCUAGGUAAAGUCCCCCCUUAUCUCAGCUCGCUGGUCACCAUAGCAUCUCCCACCUGUAGCACACGCUCCAGCAGGUAUAUCUCUCUAGUCACCCCCAAGACCAAUUCUUUCUUUGGCCGCCUCUCCUUCCAGUUCUCUGCUGCCAAUGACUGGAACGAACUACAAAAAUCUCUGAAACUGGAAACACUUAUCUCCCUCACUAGCUUUAAGCACCAACUGUCAGAGCAGCUCACAGAUUACUGCACCUGUACAUAG
rnacentral:lncRNA from 1 species